rnacentral:rRNA from 1 species
AUUGAACGCUGGCGGCAUGCUUUACACAUGCAAGUCGAACGGCAGCGGGGUAGUGCUUGCACUACUGCCGGCGAGUGGCGAACGGGUGAGUAAUAUAUCGGAACGUACCGAGUAAUGGGGGAUAACCAAUCGAAAGAUUGGCUAAUACCGCAUACGUCCUGAGGGAGAAAGCGGGGGAUCGCAAGACCUCGCGUUAUUCGAGCGGCCGAUAACUGAUUAGCUAGUUGGUGGGGUAAAGGCCUACCAAGGCGACGAUCAGUAGCGGGUCUGAGAGGACGAUCCGCCAAACUGGAACUGGGACACGGCCCAGCCCCCUACGGGGGGGAGCGGUGGGGAAUUUUGGAAAAGGGGGGAAACCCUAACCCAGCCAUGCCGGGGGUAUGAAGAAGGCCUUGGGGUUUAAAAGUACUUUUGUUAGGAAAAAAAAGGGAAGGGUAAAAACCCCUUUUUGCUGGGGGUACCAAAAAAAAAAGCACCGGCAAACUACGG